AGAGGGGGAGUGAAAGAAUGGCUGGGUGGGUGUCUGGCAGCCAGCCAAGACCAAACCCAAGAACAAAACCUAUUAGAAAGCACUUCACCUCUUUUGUUUGUGUGGCAAUUUGUUUCUCAGGUGUAGUUGUCUCCAUUCAAAAAGAGAAAUCCUGUGUGUGUAGAAAAAGGACUGUUCUGUAGUCACUGGAAAGCUACUUGAGAUGUAUCCUCCAUAUGCCUGUUUAUGCCAUUUCCAGUGGGGCUUGGAAGCUGGAAGGAACACGGAAGGGCUUGGGAGGCUGAGAUCCAAGGCUUACUGUGUUGAUUUGCACCAUAUAUGAGAUGAUGAGGUCCUGUGACUUAGCAAGAGAGGCGAGCACCAUCCCUGCUACAUGAGAGGGAAGGGUCUGACCAUGUCAUGAAGGUCCUAGCUCAGACUAAAAUGCACUUGGUUUUAAAUUACUGAAUGCAUAUGUACUCAUAGUAUGCAUUAGCAACAAUAGCACCGCUCAAAAGAUUUCGCUUCUUAAUAGACAACUUCCUUGUUUCCUUUUACUCAAGUGGUUGAACAGUUUGACUUGGGUUUUGAUCCAGAGCAGGUGUUGAAGCCUUAACUAGAUUUGUCAUCAGGGUUGCAGUGUUAAUGAUGGAGUAAAGUGGGCUCUGUGGUUUAAUGUCACUCAGCAAUACUCAACUGGAAAGCUGUAAUUGUUUUGCAGGAAAAAAAUGAGGUUUUUAUCUAUAUUUUCCUUCUGCUUUGCAAUGAAACACAAACUUUUUGGUAUGGUUUAUGUCAAGAAAGCAAGCGAGAUGUUCAGAGUAACAGCUGAAUGGUUAGGGCAUUUCAAUGUGGAAGAUCCAGUUUGUCUUGUCUCCAAAUUAAGUAGAGAAUGAACAUUCAUUAAUAAGGCACUGUUUCUCACAUUUUAAUCACUGUGAGAGCUGCUUCUGAGUUCUCUGUUGCUUUCACCUUUCUCUCCUCAUAGAAUGAAUGAUGUUAAAUUAUUCCACUACAUUAAGCACUCCCAGAAUAACAGAGAAACCUGUAUCAAAUAGUUACCUCCUAUCUAGGUGUGUUAAACAAGGUUGGACAGAACAUCCAUAGGUGAAAUAAAAUGUCAGUAAGAAAUAUUCAAAACAGGUGGAGAAUAUGGUAUAAUUUAUGCUUUGACAAUUAGUCAAGAUAAAUUGUAACUGGUCUUUAAUUUUGCUCUGACCACAGGUAUACUCUCAGGAAAAGUAGGGUUGAGAGAGUUAGGGCACAGCCUGCCUUUGGAAUAUUCUGUUUGAACUUUAAGCCACUCUUAACUGACAGAAGUUGGAUGAACAACUUAGUGUUAAUUCUGGUAGUUACUGAGAACAACACACAAGGUGGUUGGGUAUUCCCUGGCAGUUGUGACCUGACAGAGCUCAGGGAAAAGUUAACUAGUGGCCAAACUGAAGCGUGCUGUGCUACUUUGGAUCUUGAGCAAGAACCUGAUGGUUACGUGAAGAUCAUAUGAGAAUGUUUUUCUUCAAAGUUUGAUGCAGUGUAUCAGGUUAGAGUGACUUGCAUUCACAGGGGUAAAAUUUGAGUUGUGCUCAAGCUGCAACUAAGCUGAGGAGAGACUGGAGAAGGUAGGGAGAACACUACCAGUUGCACAUCAUUAGCUGGGGACUCGCCCAUGAGAAGGGAGUUAGUUACCUGCUGCCAGACACAUGUGACCACAUAGCUUAUAAUUGCCAGCUACUGCAAUAUAAUGAGUUACCCAUUAAUCAGCUGAGACAUCAUGGUAGUGUUAGCAGAUGUGUUAUACUUUGCAGCUGGAACAGAUUGAGAGAAUUUAUCUGGUCAUUUACUGUAACCCAGCUAAUGACAUACUACUCCACAAAUAAUUUGAUUGAGGAAUUGCCUCAGGAUAUGCUAGGAGCCAACAUCUAGCCUGUACUGUCAGUGAUCCCAUCAUUGCCAAAUGCACUCUCCCAGCAGAUUUACUGUCACUUCUGUUGCCCUCUGUGACAUUAAAUGCUAGUCUAUUGGGUUUUUACAUCGGUGUAAGUGGGAUUAACAAUAGAAGUAAUGAUUUUUUUUCAAAACACUGUUUGAUGCUGAUGUCAGAGACCUUUAAAGUUGCUGUUAGGCUUCAAGGGGAUGUUCUGACAAACUCGUCCGUAAUGCAGCUUGGGUGAGGAAAAAAAAAUAAUCACUAUUUAUUGCUUCCUAUGGAUUGUAUAGAUGUGAUCACAUUGAAAUGAAGUGAGAUGGUAAAGCUAUGACUACAGUAAUUCUGUGAAAUUCAUGCAGAGUUCAAUUUGUGUUUAGUUGGAUCAAUGUAUCAAACAUGUUGGUUUCUAUUUCCUUGAAUUUAUGCAGGUACUAACGUUUGAACAAAGAUAUGCCACUGCAAAACAAGUAUUAAUAAAUACAGAAUAAUAAAGGUAAUACAAAGCCAUUCAUUCUGUAGUGGUAUGGACAGAAACCUUAACAGAACAUGUUUACUUAGGAAAGACUGCCAGCAACUUGUUUAUCUGACUCAGAAGCACUGGAGUGAAAAGUGAUGCCAGCUGGGUUUGUUAUGUAAAUACAACUUUUCACAGAUUUUUGAGUAUUUUUGUUCUCAGUAGAACAGUCUUAAGUUUAUUAGCUACAGGGAUAUACGUGUUGUACAUAUUCAUGUUCUGGUGUAUGAUAACACUAUUACUAAAUUUACAUAAAAGAGGUGUUUGUGGGGAAAUGAGUGGAUUCAGUUGACUUCCAUGCAAUUUUCAGACUGUUCUAAUCCAGGUCAUACUGCUUGCUGCUUAAAAUAUAUCUCAGCUCUAGAACAAAGUACUAGUUCUCCAAGUCUGAAAUAAGCUCUUUUAGGUGAUAAUGUGCAAUUCAUCCAUCACUCUACUCAGCUGUCAAGUAACAAUUCAGUAGCUUUCCCUUCUAUAGUUCUCUGGUUGAGGACAUGUCCUUAAAGAAAAAGUUGUUAUAUUUGCAAGCAUUUCUGAGAGGCAGAGAAGAAUUGCAAUGUUCAAAAAAAUUUAUAUCCUAUCCAAAUCAGGAGCUGAAGUUUAAUUAUCCCCUUUAAAUUUUGAGCUGAUUGUAUGUGAACUUUAAUGAAAUCCAUUGAGCUUUGCAAAAAGCAUGGCUGAGAGUGGCAGCAGAAGAAUUAUUAGCUGCUCUUGAAGACUAUGUAGUACAGACAGUGAACAGUUUCUUUGCACUAUUGCCUUUUUUCUUAAUUUCUGUUAUUUUCCUUGCAUUGUUCAAAAAUAACAUCCCACUGGCUCUCCCCAGUGAGACUCCUAAUUUGCAGUCAUACUAGCCUAAAUUAUAUUAAAGAGCAUUAUUUAAUAGCUUUAGAAACAGCAAUUAGUUUUAUUUUCAUAAAGUCUUAAGUUGAAACUUGCACCAAUGUUAAAUACCCAAAUAUAUGGCUUAAAAGCAUAGAAAAUGGAAGGUGUAUUUCCAGAGUGACUUAAUCCUUUCUAUGCUGAUAAAAUCAAUAGAGGGUACUGGUUUAUCUGUUACCUCUAAUAAUUAAAGUCUUGGCUUUAGGCUUCCAAAUCGGAAUGCUUUUGCUGGAGUCAUUAUGAAUCUUUCUACUAGUAAGUGAAGGCACUAACAGUCAGUGGUUUUUAUUUUACGCUUUUUAAAUAUGAAGAAAGAAACACCCACCUUUUAAGGUUUAGUGUUUAAAAAUGUCAGAGAACCUCAUUUGGUAAGACAGAUUGGUUUAACUUUCCCUACAAAGACAUGGAGACCAGAAUGAUAUGAAUACUGAUUUGUGCUCUCCUUAAAAAUACUGAAAGGAAAAGCAUGAGAAGAUAAAUCUAAUGUAGUUGUUCCAACAGAAUAUGCCACCUUGGCUCAUUUACUUUGGCAGGUGAACAAUGGUGGGCUCAGCUUUUGCAGUAUUAGGUCUAAAAAGAUGUAAGUCUUGUGCUUGUUCAGUAUAGGAUCUUUCUGGAAUAAAAUAAUACUGAAGUUGUUCUCCUUCAGAUGGUGGUUGUGUAUGAAUGUGGAUAGGUCUGCGACUGCCAUCUCACCUCCAGUGCUUGGCUUUGCGCAUGCUGUAGCAUGGAUUAUUCAACUGGUCACACGUGGCAACAGGCUUGACUUUUUUUUUUUUAAACGUAUUGACGUUGAUAACUUUGCCAGACUUCUAACUGUCCCACAGUAGAAUGGUAGAUAACAGACAAACAAGUACCUGUAGACAGUUACUAAGAAGAAUAUGCAAAUCAACAUGCAAAUAUUAAAUAUGCCUUUUGUGUGCAUAAUCACUUCUUAGAAAUAUAGUUGAAGAAAACCCCGUCAAUUAUUUUAGCUUGUUGGUUAUUAUAUAUUGAUAGAAUCCAUGUAAUUUGAAAGAAAUGGGUGUAUAGCUGAAAAUGGGGUAAUUCAGAAAGCAAACGUAAAGUAAGUGGUCUGUUAUUUGGAACACAUAGUCAGUACCUCACUUAAUAUAGUGCUGUUCCUGGUGAGGAGGAACUGUGCAAUAGCACCGGUCGUAUUCACUAGGUCAGGACAGAUACUCUCAGAAGUUCUGAUUAUGGAAGCAAUAGACUGAGUUAUCACACCUAGAUCUUUUUGAAAUGCUGAAGGAUACAGUUUAUUUUUUGUGCCAUUUAAUGCAGUCAGGGUAGUGAAUAGUUACAGUAUCAGUAUCAUUGAUUACUAAGUUAAAAAAAAGUUAUUUUAUUUGCAUCUUCAUACUUACAGUAGAACUGAAAAUACAGAGCUUAAUUGUUGCUUUCAGUUUGUCAUUUGAAAUGUGGAUGCUUCAAAGGAAAUCUAGUAACUGCUCAUCAAAUGCUUUACUGUGCCGCUCCUGUCUAUCCAGACUGGACAUCAGGCCGGUCUAAUAGUUCUAUUCCCUUUCCCUUUUCCUCCUUAAGAAUAUUUUAACCACUGGGAUAGCUGUAAUCAGUAAUAAGUUAAAAAUACUCAUAAAUGUAUGCAGUGUAAAGAACUGGUUUUUAAACAAGAUCACGUUCUUGAGAACUUGGAACGUGAUAUUGUACUACAUUAAAGAACUACUGCACACUACAAAGAAAGGUUGGUUGGCUCACAGGAACUCAAAGAGGGCUUGAAGUUUGUAUGGAACUAGUUCGAUGCAAACUAGUUCCAACAAUUCAUAUAUAAAUACAUUUUUAAAAACUCUAUUUCAUUGUCUUAUGGGUAGGAACCUGAAAAGUGAGAGAUCAGAUCAGGAUUUAUUCUACAAGUUUCCCAUACAAGAAGUUUGCUAUGAAGCAAAAACUAAUUGAUAAUUUAAGAAAAUAAUUCCACUUACCUGGAAUUUGAGGUCAUGAGUGACAUACUCAAGAACUAUUCAAUUUUGGCCAAAUUAGUGCCUGUUACUAGUCUGUGAAUCUAUGAACUUUUCUAUUUAGGUUUAUCUUGGAGUAGGAAAGGCUUUUGGCAACAAUAUUUUGUAUAGCACUAAGCCUUCCAUAAUGAUCUUAGCUUGAGAAUAUUGUGCCUAUGUGAAUGUGCAGAUGACUUGACGUACACAAGUAAACCAAGAAGGAAUCUGUAAGUAGGAUAAUUAGAUCUAGGUGGUGUUUUUCGGUAAACUUAACACCACUUUGGGGGGAGAAGACAUAGUAAGUUUCAGACAGGUUGUAUAAUUCUAUCUUCAUGCAGUAAGGAGCAAAAAGUACUGAGAAAGACAAUGUCAUUUGAAAAUGGAAGUGUGCUCACAGCUGCUCAAGACGAUGUAAGAUAUAUGUGUAAUGCAAGUGUAACUCUACAAGGAGACUAUUUGAAGUACAUACUGUACUUCAAAGGCUAUUGUAAUAUUGUUCAUGAACACGACUGAUCUAUUUUUGGGCUGAUCUCCAAACUGUUAUUCCUUCAAAACAGGUGAAGAAGAAACCAAGAAGUGGUCAGCUGGUGGUGACUUAGGGGCCAGGUACAGCUUUUGAGUAGCCAGCUGUGGCUUCCAUGUUGGGGUUACCUUGAGGGACUGGCUGUGCUAAUGGGAAGGCAUCUGUGGGACAACUCAAGCUCAAGUGGAAACAGGUCACUAUGGUACACAGCAACAUACACACACCAAAUUAAGUAGUAGGAGUGCCCCAUCUAUGAUCUAGUCUCCAAAGUAUGUCAUACACAUCAUCUGGCUCUUGGCUGCGAGCUGUUGCCGUGACCUGUGGAAGGUUGCUAAGUUGCAGGCUGUUUACACUCUCAUUCUAGACUGCAAUUCCUAUUUUCAAGGGUUUCUUUACGGCUGGAUGAAAACAGUGUUUGUUCCUCAGCAAGGAUUAUUUGUGUGUCAGGUGUAUAAUGCACAGGAACGUUCUAUCAAGCAGUAAUUUGAUGGGGGUCCUAAGCGCACUGAAACCGUACUCCAGUUACAGAUGGUGCAUUAGACUGGAGCACAGUGACUGGGGUCUGUGUGCAUCUGCUUUUGAAAGUGGAAGGAUUAUGUAAGUGUCCACAAAAAAGGCACAUUCUUCUACUUAAAAAUUCAUCUGUCAUAUUGCACAUCAAUUUUGGGUCAGAUUGUACUGUCCUAAUUAAUGGAAUAAAGUUUUAGUAUUCCAUACA